UGGGGAAUAUUGGACAAUGGGCGAAAGCCUGAUCCAGCCAUGCCGCGUGUGUGAAGAAGGUCUUCGGAUUGUAAAGCACUUUAAGUUGGGAGGAAGGGCAGUAAGCGAAUACCUUGCUGUUUUGACGUUACCGACAGAAUAAGCACCGGCUAACUCUGUGCCAGCAGCCGCGGUAAUACAGAGGGUGCAAGCGUUAAUCGGAAUUACUGGGCGUAAAGCGCGCGUAGGUGGUUCGUUAAGUUGAAUGUGAAAGCCCCGGGCUCAACCUGGGGACUGCAUCCAAAACUGGCGAGCUAGAGUAGGGCAGAGGGUGGUUGAAUUUCCUGUGGAGCGGUGAAAUGCGUAGAUAUAGGAAGGAACACCAGUGGCGAAGGCGACCACCUGGGCUCAUACUGACACUGAGGUGCGAAAGCGUGGGGAGCAAACAGG
rnacentral:rRNA from 1 species